AACGUGGAGUGAUCUACCUCCUUUAGCGGGGAAUACCUCUGGGAAACCGGUGACAAUACCGCAUAAGCUCGAGAGAGGAAAGCCGAAAGGCGCUGAAAGAGGAGUCCGCGGCCGAUUAGCUAGUUGGUAGGGUAAUGGCCUACCAAGGCUUUGAUCGGUAGCCGGCCUGAGAGGGCACACGGCCACACUGGCACUGAAACACGGGCCAG
rnacentral:rRNA from 1 species